GAAAGAAAAUGAUCAAUCCAUUUCUUGUUGUUUGUUUGGUGAUAACUGGUUUUAGCAUACCAGUUCAUGGUUUUCAAGAUACACUCAAAGUAGAUUUGGAGCUUGAAAAACAACUAAAGCUAAUCAAUAAGCCUCCUAUCAAAACUAUUCAUACAAAAAAUGGAGACAUUGUUGAUUGUAUUGAUAUUUAUAAACAACUAGCAUUUGAUCAUCCAUUAUUAAAGGAUCACAAGUUAUAGAGAAAACCUAGUUUUCAAAAAUCAAGUACGAAGAAUUUAGCAAAUAAGCCUAAUUUUAACCUUGAAAAAGUCCAAUGUCCUAAAGGGUCUAUUCCUACUCGGAGAACAACAAAAGAAGAUCUCAUUUGAGAAAAAAAUUUAUUAAAUAAUAGUAUUCUUCUUCGAGACAUUCCUGGUGUUCAUCUUGCAGAAUUAGCUCUUUCAUCGAAUUUUAGUCCAUACUAUGCCGUUAAAGGACGAAACAGCGUUUAUAAUCCACCGAUCACUAAGGGUCAAAUGUCUCUUUCUCAUGUGUGGGUUCAAAAUGGACCCAUAAGUUCUAACAAUAAAAUCAGUUUUGGAUGGCAAGUGAGUCUUAAUUUUAUUAUUAAACCCUUUUUUCCAAUAAAUAUUAUAUGAACAAUAUAUUUAAUUUGUGUUUAUUUGUGUGCAAUCUCACAUUUUGAUACAGGUGAGUCUAGAUUUGUAUGGUGACAAUAAAACUCAUUUAUACGCAUCAUGGACGAAAGACAACUUUCAAAAGACAGGAUGUUACAAUGUUCGAUGUCCAGGUUUUGUUCAAACCAAUUACCAACUUUAUCUUGGCGCAGAGACCGGAGAUGUAUCUUCUUAUGGUGGACCAGUUUUUGAUUCUAUCCAGUAUAUUGCUAUGGACCCAAAAACCAAAAACUGGUGGGUUCAUACAACAGGUGAAGAUAUUGGAUAUUUUCCAGCAAAGUUAUUCUCUAACUUAGCUUCGGCAGAUAAAGUAGGGUGGGGUGGAAGAACAUUAACUCCUCACGGUUCUCGCAGCCCUCAAAUGGGGUCUGGACAUUUUCCUGAUAAAGACUAUUAUCAUGCAUGUUAUUUCAGAACUAUUUCUUUUCAAAAUGCAUCUAGAAUAAUGUAUGGACCGGAAAGAUAUCAAACUGAAAAGUACGUUGACAAACCUAGAUGUUAUGACCUUAAGUACUACGGCAAUGUUCAUGACAUUGGUGGAUAUAUGCUCCAAUUUGGAGGACCUGGUGGUAAGUGUGAUGAUUAGUCUAAUUUUAGUUAUUUAUGAACUUCAAAAAUAAAUAUUGUUACUAUCAUUAUUAUUAAUAUUUUUUUUUCUAAAAUUCUGGUGUUUUGAUCUAUACAUUUAAUAUUUCGAUACAUUGUUAAGAUAAUAGCGCACAACAUUCGCAUCAUAAGAUAAGAUAUGACCAUAUUAAAUACAAUACCAAAAAAUAUCAACCAAUGUAAUAUGAAUAUAAAUAAAGCAUUGAUAAACCCACACCUUGGCAAAACAUAGAUACAACUAUAACCUAUUAUUCUGAAUUUUUUAAAAAGCAACGCCUCUAGC